ensembl:lncRNA
UUUGUUGUUGUUGUUGUGCUAAGCUAAAAGGCAGAAUGCUACAGGCAUGGCCCUAAAGAAUGUAGCCUCAUGGGCAGUGUAGUCCGCGCUGCAGGGAGAAUGGACUACCAUACCCGUUAUGUGUCUGUGAGCGAGGGAGGGAGAGAAAGGAAAAGUCCGAGCUGUCACGGAGCAAAAACGGGAGCUGGAAGCAUGUAAAUAUAAUAAUAACCACUGCAGCCAAGAAGAGUGCCUGACGAGCCCAGCUGUGACAACAGUAGAAGACCAUACCAGGUGUGUCAGGCUUCUGGGUGGCUGCUCUGGAUGUGUUACUCACCUUCUCUGCUAGGGUGGCGUCUGGACACCUGUGCCUUCCUGGAUCCUCACCCUCCUUCUACUCACCUGAUGCUGGUUCUGGCUGAUUGCCCCUGACGCCAUUUAAGGCCACAGUGGAGUGUUGGUCCUUGGUGGAUUGUUGUGCUAUUUUAAGUUAGUGUAGCCCAGCUCUCUAUGAUAUUUUUCCUUGUGCUCCCUGGUUCUGUGGCUAAUCGUUGGUUCUCCAUCUCCUCCUGCAGAGACCUACCUGGACCCCAGCCUGCCUUCCCUUGAAACCCUUUGGAUGAGCAAGAGUGUGAGUGAGGAACGGUAUGGACAUCUGGACUGAGUGUGUAUUUUUCACAAGCGGAUUGAAGAGGAAUGUGAGUGUGACUGUUCCCCAGCCCUGGACCUACCCCUGGAAUCCGUGGACCCCUUUUCUCCCUCUCACUGUACAUAUGUAAAUAUUCCACCACUUGAGUCCAGCCUAGUCACCAUGACAAGGUGCCACUUCUGUUAGCUAAGAACAGGAAACCGAGGCUACAGUUUGCAUGGGUUGACCAAAAUUGGACCCCAUAGAAGAUUGGACAAAUGUUGUCUGGUCUAAUGAGUCUAAAUUUCUGCUGUGACAUUGGGAUUAUGACCACAGUGUACCCAUCAGUUGAAUAUGAAUUCACUGUACUCAAAUGACCUCUACAGUCACCAGAUCUCAAACUAACAGAGCAACUUUUGGAUGUGGUGAUUUGCAUAAUGGAUGUGUAACCUACAAAUUUGCAGAAACUUCUCAUGUCAAUAAACCAAAGUCUCUGAGGAAUGUUUC